GAUGAACGCUAGCGGCAGGCUUAAUACAUGCAAGUCGAGGGGCAACAGGGGUAGCAAUACCUGCUGGCGACCGGCAAACGGGUGCGGAACACGUACAGAACCUUCCUUUAAGCGGGGGAUAGCCCGGAGAAAUCCGGAUUAAUACCCCAUAGUAAUAUUGACUGGCAUCAGUUGGUAUUUAAAGAUUUAUCACUUAAAGAUGGCUGUGCGGCUGAUUAGGUAGUUGGUGCGGGUAACGGCCCACCAAGCCAGCGAUCAGUAACUGGUGUGAGAGCACGACCAGUCACACGGGCACUGAGACACGGGCCCGACUCCUACGGGAGGCAGCAGUAAGGAAUAUUGGUCAAUGGACGCAAGUCUGAACCAGCCAUGCCGCGUGGGGGAUGAAGGUCCUCUGGAUUGUAAACUUCUUUUAUUUGGGAAGAAAUGUGAAAAUUCUUUUUCACUUGACGGUACCAGAUGAAUAAGCACCGGCUAACUCCGUGCCAGCCGCCGCCGUAAC
rnacentral:rRNA from 1 species